UACGAAGGGGGCUAGCGUUGUUCGGAAUUACUGGGCGUAAAGCGUGCGCAGGCGGUGAUGUAAGACAGGUGUGAAAUCCCGGGGCUCAACCUCGGAACUGCAUUUGUGACUGCAUCGCUGGAGUGCGGCAGAGGGGGAUGGAAUUCCGCGUGUAGCAGUGAAAUGCGUAGAUAUGCGGAGGAACACCGAUGGCGAAGGCAAUCCCCUGGGCCUGCACUGACGCUCAUGCACGAAAGCGUGGGGAGCAAACAGG
rnacentral:rRNA from 1 species